rnacentral:rRNA from 1 species
GUAGUGGCAAGCGUUGUCCGGAUUUAUGGGUUUAAAGGGUGCGUAGGCGGUCUUGUAAGUCAGUGGUGAAAUACGGCAGCUUAACUGUCGAGGUGCCAUUGAUACUGCAGGACUUGAGUACAGACGAGGUAGGCGGAAUUGACGGUGUAGCGGUGAAAUGCUUAGAUAUCGUCAAGAACACCGAUAGCGAAGGCAGCUUACUAGACUGUAACUGACGCUGAUGCACGAAAGUGUGGGGAUCAAACAGGAUUAGAUACCCUGGUAGUCCACACUGUAAACGAUGAUUACUCGAUGUUGGCGAUACACAGCCAGCGUCUUAGCGAAAGCGAUAAGUAAUCCACCUGGGGAGUACGCCGGCAACGGUG